UACGUAGGUGGCAAGCGUUGUCCGGAUUUACGGGGCGUAAAGAGCGCGCAGGCGGUCGUGCAAGUCGCGUGUGAAAGCCCCCGGCUCAACUGGGGAGGGUCACGCGAUACUGCUCGACUCGAAGGCAGGAGAGGGAAGUGGAAUUCCCGGUGUAGUGGUGAAAUGCGUAGAUAUCGGGAGGAACACCAGUGGCGAAGGCGACUUCCUGGCCUGUUCUUGACGCUGAGGCACGAAAGCUAGGGGAGCAAACAGG
rnacentral:rRNA from 1 species